UACGAAGGGUGCAAGCGUUAAUCGGAAUUACUGGGCGUAAAGCGUGCGCAGGCGGUUUUCCAAGACAGAUGUGAAAUCCCCGGGCUCAACCUGGGAAUGGCAUUUGUGACUGGAAGGCUAGAGUGUGUCAGAGGGGGGUAGAAUUCCACGUGUAGCAGUGAAAUGCGUAGAGAUGUGGAGGAAUACCGAUGGCGAAGGCAGCCCCCUGGGAUAACACUGACGCUCAUGCACGAAAGCGUGGGGAGCAAACAGG
rnacentral:rRNA from 1 species